AGGCUGGGCAGAAAGUAGGGUCGGGAGAGUGAGUCACAGGUUCCUGCCCGCCGCUAAGGGAUCCGUCGGGGCGGGGCCCGGGAUCCUGGGAGUGGGAGCUGGUUCUGAAAGUAAGGUCAGGAAAAUGUUCCUGUACACGCACCCGGAGGCUUUUGCAGGAGGCGGCUGUUGGAGAACCGGGAAAACAAGCCAAGAAACAAGAGAGAGGAAAAAGACCACGCCUCGCUUGGCAGAUUCCUAAUGGCCUAGGAGACCUGAGGCUUUACAGUGGGAGACAAAAAGAACGUUCCCAGCCCCUGCCAUGAGCCUGGACUUGCUCUGCUGGCAGGCGAAGGAAUGCAGCUCUGGCCGCCACAGCUGCUGGUGGCCAGCUGUGGCCUCAGCUCCUGCUGCUCCCACCCCAGCAGGCACAGGGACAAAGGCCUCUUCUCAGCCUGUCUCCUCCAGCCCCCUGGAUCAGUGGGGGCAGAACAUUGACCAGGAGGCUCCAUCACUGACCAGCUCAAUUGCUGUUCCUCUCUGGGCCUUAGUGCCCUUUCUGGAAAAUGGGGGCAGAGUCUCUGCCUGACUGACCUCUCAGCACCAUUUUGAGGUUCCAAGGAGUUAAAGUUACAGAAAUACAGACCUCUCAGCAUCUCUUCUGCCUGAGGGUCGGCCUACUCAGAGACCCUCCUGCCUCCAAUGCCCCUCCCUCCCUCCCACUUCACCUGGCUAGCCCCAGCUCCCUCAGCUCAGCUCAGCUCAGCUCAGCUCAGCGGGACCAUCCCUUACCCUGGGGAGCCCUCCCUCACCUUCAGACCAUGCUGUUCCUUCAACGUAUUUAUCACUGUUAUAAUUAAAUAAUUAAUUGUGUAAUUGGA